AGGUUCAUCAAAUUUGGCCGAAGGGUUUGAAAGAUAUGAUGUUUUGAAGUUCUAGGGCUUUUCUGCAAAAUAGCCAUUUAAUUUAACCGGGAAUUAAGUUUUUAUUUAAAAACCGUGACACGUGGCGUGCUGUGAUUGGCCAGUACCGAUUCGGGGUUAAAAUAAAACACAGGACGUCGGAUCUAACUGAAAAGCAUCGGGCGGUCCAGAUCUCAAGAUACCCCUUCGCUUUAAGUGAUUUAAUCUUGAUCGUAGAUGGAGAUCGGACGGAUUAGAUCAAGCAUGGGCUUACCGGCGGUGGCGCUAGUGUUCCAGUGACGCUCCGGCAGCUUGGGGACGCGGCGGCAGGGUGUUUCCGCUGGGUUCUCGGCUCUAGGAAACUUGGGGAAGAGGCAACUCCGCGAGGCGAAGACGAUGGCGGUGGCGGUUCUCCUCGAGGGUGACGGUGGCGACGCCUAGGACGAAGGAGAGGCGGCAGCGACGGCAAGCUCUCGGUCGUCGGUGUCCUCGGGUCUACUGCGGCCGGAAGAAGAAAGGGAGCACGUCAGAACGACGAGGGGAGGGAAAAAGAGGAGGAGGGGAGGACGAUGCCGUACCCGUUCGUCGACGGUGACAAAAAGAUGGCGGCGGCGGCGAGCUUGCUCCUGCGAUGAAAUUCGGCAGCGGGGGCGCGAGAUGAGCAAAAUUGGGAGAGGGGAACGGCAGAGAAGGACUCGGGCUUUAUAAUGACGCGCGGGGUAGGUCGCUGGGAGCUCGGGACGAGGAGAUCCUGACUUGCUGUCACGCGUGGCGACUUGCAUCCGGGGAAUACGGACCCAACAGGUGGGCCCCGCCUGUCAGUGACACGCGGCGUUCGGGCGCGCGGGUUGGGCUGCGGGCGAGCGAGGUAAGCAGGCCGGCCCAGUUGGGUCGGUCUGAUUCUUUUUUUUUUGUUGUUCUUUCCUUUUCUUUUUUUUCUUUUUUUGUUUUUCUUUUAUAACUUUUGAUUUUGAACUCCAAAUCAAUUCACAUAAAUUCCAAUUUUUUUGUAAAAUCAUAUUAUUGUAUGAUUCAACUUUGGGGACCAAUUUCCCCUAAAACUAAGAUAGUUAAAAAUAGUUUUGCCCUAUAAAUGCCUUUAGGGCUUCAUCUCUAAUUAAAUAAAAUAGUUUCUCAACUCCAAAUUAAAUACUAAAAAUUAUGGGGUACCUCAUUUAUCCAAUAAACCCCUUUUUUAUAGAUAAACCAUAUUGGUUUAAAAUCCAAAACUCAAAUGGGUAAAAGUCUAAUGAUUAAAAUGAAAUAAAAUCUUUUCAAAGCCAUUUUGGAAGUCAAAUCUUGGUUCAAAAAUGCAAUUGUGGCAUGGCAUGAUGCUCAUGAAUGCAAUGCAUAUGAAAAGUUUCAAAAUUUUGUGAUGUUACACUGCUGCUCGUUGAUGGCGUCGAGGAAUUGGUGCCCCUAAUUGUAGAUGCUUGGGUCCCAGGUGAUUGGGUCCCAAGUCGCCCGGGCAAGAGUGCCGAGGUCUGGGCUGGAGGUAGCGGCGGACCCCCGCCGCCAUGGUUUGGCCGGGGGGAGCACCGU
rnacentral:lncRNA from 1 species